UACGUAGGGACCGAGCGUUGUCCGGAAUCAUUGGGCGUAAAGAGCGUGUAGGCGGCCACUUAAGUCCUGCGUGAAAUCUUGCGGCUCAACCGCAAGCGGUCGUGGGAAACUGUCUGGCUAGAGUCCGGGAGGGGCGAGUGGAAUUCCUGGUGUAGCGGUGAAAUGCGCAGAUAUCAGGAGGAACACCAAUGGCGAAGGCAGCUCGCUGGAACGGUACUGACGCUGAGGCGCGAAAGCGUGGGGAGCAAACAGG
rnacentral:rRNA from 1 species